rnacentral:rRNA from 1 species
GGGCCCGCACAAGCGGUGGAGUAUGUGGUUUAAUUCGAUGCAACGCGAAGAACCUUACCUGGUCUUGACAUACACAGAAUCUUGUAGAGAUACGAGAGUGCCUUCGGGAAUUGUGAUACAGGUGCUGCAUGGCUGUCGUCAGCUCGUGUCGUGAGAUGUUGGGUUAAGUCCCGCAACGAGCGCAACCCUUGUCCUUAGUUACCAGCACUUCGGGCGGGAACUCUAAGGAUACUGCCAGUGACAAACUGGAGGAAGGCGGGGACGACGUCAAGUCAUCAUGGCCCUUACGACCAGGGCUACACACGUGCUACAAUGGUAGGUACAGAGGGCAGCUACACAGCGAUGUGAUGCGAAUCCCAAAAAGCUGUUCUUAGUCCGGAUUGGAGUCUGCAACUCGACUCCAUGAAGUUGGAAUCGCUAGUAAUCG